AAAAAUAACUGGAUAUUAUUGAACUGAGAUGGUUGUUUCUAAAACAAAAGGAGGAAAUCUUGGCUGGCUAUACUGAACAUGAACAUCUGUUCCUGUUAAAUAAAUCUACAUGUCUAAAAUGCUUCAGCCUACUUAAUUUCUGGAUUAGCAUGUCUUGUAGUGAACCUUUGAGAGUCAUGUUAAGUCAGAGAUUCAUAAUGAAAAACUAAGUAUUUGGGAUCUAGGAGCUAGUUCCAAGAAAAAUGGCUUCUAAGCACCCUUCAUUCAGAGGUGGGGUGAGGGUUGGCUGCCAUUCUGCAAAUGGCUGGUGUGUAGCAGAACAUUUAGGACAUGGUUGAGCCUCAUGUAAAAGGUUACAUGAGAUGAACUGUUAAGAGGUAGAUUUAACUGCACAGAAGAAAGGCUCUACAAAGGUAAUUUUAAGGAGUGGUUGUCAAGUCUCCAGCCCUGGUAGUUAUUUUUCUUUAAAAUGUCUUCAACUCUGUCCUUUCUAUUGACAGGGACACAACUUUAUUUCACCUCACACUUUUAUCAUUCU
rnacentral:lncRNA from 1 species